rnacentral:rRNA from 1 species
AUGAGGUUGCGGUCGACGCUGAGCUUGUUGAGGGUGAGCGUGCCCGUCUUGUCGCUGCAGAGCACGUCCAUGCCGGCCAUCUCCUCGAUGGCCGUCAUGCGCUUGGUGAUGGCGCCCUGCUUCGACAGCCGGUGGGAGCCGAUAGCCAUGGUGACCGACAGCACCGUGGGCAUCGCGAUCGGGAUGCCGCCGAUGAGAAGCACAAGGAGGUUGUCAAUGCCGUCGCGGUACCGGCGGUGCUGGAUGAAGUACAUGACGAUGAUCUCGACGAUCAUGCCGAUGGCGAUGGCGCCGAUGCAGAAGUUACCAAUGGCGCGGAGCACCUUCUGGAAGUGGCCGACCUGGUUUGUGCUGUCGACGAGGUGCGCCGCCUUGCCGAAGAAGGUGUGCACGCCGGUGGCGAUGACGACGGCCUCGAUCUCGCCCUGCUUGCACGUGGACCCCGAGUAG